CCCUUAGAUGUUCUGGGCCGCACGCGCGCUACACUGACGAAUGCAACGAGCUUAUAACCUUGGCCGAAAGGUCUGGGUAAUCUCCAAAUUUCGUCGUGAUGGGGAUAGAUUAUUGCAAUUAUUAAUCUUCAACGAGGAAUGCCUAGUAAGCGCAAGUCAUCAGCUUGCGUUGAUUACGUCCCUGCCCUUUGUACACACCGCCCGUCGCUCCUACCGAUUGAAUGGUCCGGUGAAGCGUUCGGACCGUGGCCUUUGGACGGUUCGCCGUCUGUUGGCUGCGGGAAGUUCGUUAAACCUUAUCAUUUAGAGGAAGGAGAAGUCGUAANA
rnacentral:rRNA from 1 species